CAAAACAAGUCUGGAACUGGUCGCCAUUUUGUGAGGGUCAUUCAUUCGCGGUUCAAUCAGUUAUGGGGUGAUUCUUGAAUGAUGUCUGUGUCUGUGCAACCAGAGUCGGUUUAUUGUGUGUAUUUAAAUUGUGAUGAAAGUCAGCAUUUGAUCGUCGUUAUUCGCGGACGCACAAAACAACUUUGAACACACACAUCACAAGAAACGUGUCGUCCUAACAUUAAAACUGGUUGUGGACGCCAUGCUUUCCUGAGAGGGUCCUUCGCGGCAGUUUGGUCGGUUAACGAUCUGAUCUCAUCAUCAUCCAGUCUGUCUGGAAUGACAUGAAGAAACAGAACGAGACAGAAUAAAUCCAGAAGAUCUGUGGCAACGUCUUUAAGAUGCUUCAAGAGACCUACCUGCGGAGCUACAGUUUAUCACCUAAGCCUCCUUGGAGGCAAAACACCUGGAGAUGCCAUCCGGAUGGUGUUGCGAACAGUUGGAACAAACAGUGUUUGGUGUCAAUACAGCAUUAAAGGAAGGAAUGGGGGAAGAGCUGGACAUUGCGGCAUGAUCAUUCAGGCUUGCCAAAAGAUGCAUCCAAAAGUGCCAGUUAAGGUGUUAGAAGAGUUCAUCUUGAAGUAUGCUCCCCAUCGUGAGUCAAGGAUGGAGUGUGAAGAGACAGGCCAUGGACCACAGUUCCCGCAGUGAUAGUUUUUCAGCACCCACACACAAUUCAGAAGUUCUCACUGAUUAAAUGUUAAUAUGAUAGUUUACGUUUACCUGUGAAGUUGUCCUU